rnacentral:tRNA from 1 species
AAGGCAGUAGCUCAGUUGAUAAGCAUUGAAAGCGAAGGCUUGCCGAGCUUUUAAUGCCGAUAGAGAGCAUCAGCCUUCCAAGCUGAGGGUCGCGGGUUUGAGCCCCGUCUUCC